rnacentral:rRNA from 1 species
GAUGAGCGCUAGCGAUAGGCUUAACACAUGCAAGUCGAGGGGCAGCGAGGGUAGCAAUACCUGUCGGCGACCGGCGCACGGGUGAGUAACGCGUAUGUAACCUGCCCGCAACAGGGGGAUAACCCGGCGAAAGUCGGACUAAUACCGCAUAAAACAGGGGUCCCGCAUGGGAAUAUUUGUUAAAGAUUUAUCGGUUGCGGAUGGGCAUGCGUACCAUUAGGUAGUUGGUGAGGUAACGGCUCACCAAGCCUUCGAUGGUUAGGGGUUCUGAGAGGAAGGUCCCCCACACUGGUACUGAGACACGGACCAGACUCCUACGGGAGGCAGCAGUGAGGAAUAUUGGUCAAUGGGCGAGAGCCUGAACCAGCCAAGUCGCGUGAAGGAUGACUGCCCUAUGGGUUGUAAACUUCUUUUACAAGGGAAUAAAAUGAGAUACGUGUAUUUUAUUGCAUGUACCUUGGGAAUAAGCAUCGGCUAACUCCGUG